AGUGCGGUGCUAUACAUGCAAGUCGAGCGGACAGAAGGGAGCUUGCUCCCGGAUGUUAGCGGCGGACGGGUGAGUAACACGUGGGUAACCUGCCUGUAAGACUGGGAUAACUCCGGGAAACCGGAGCUAAUACCGGAUAGUUCCUUGAACCGCAUGGUUCAAGGAUGAAAGACGGUUUCGGCUGUCACUUACAGAUGGACCCGCGGCGCAUUAGCUAGUUGGUGAGGUAACGGCUCACCAAGGCGACGAUGCGUAGCCGACCUGAGAGGGUGAUCGGCCACACUGGGACUGAGACACGGCCCAGACUCCUACGGGAGGCAGCAGUAGGGAAUCUUCCGCAAUGGACGAAAGUCUGACGGAGCAACGCCGCGUGAGUGAUGAAGGUUUUCGGAUCGUAAAGCUCUGUUGUUAGGGAAGAACAAGUGCAAGAGUAACUGCUUGCACCUUGACGGUACCUAACCAGAAAGCCACGGCUAACUACGUGCCAGCAGCCGCGGUAAUACGUAGGUGGCAAGCGUUGUCCGGAAUUAUUGGGCGUAAAGGGCUCGCAGGCGGUUUCUUAAGUCUGAUGUGAAAGCCCCCGGCUCAACCGGGGAGGGUCAUUGGAAACUGGGAAACUUGAGUGCAGAAGAGGAGAGUGGAAUUCCACGUGUAGCGGUGAAAUGCGUAGAGAUGUGGAGGAACACCAGUGGCGAAGGCGACUCUCUGGUCUGUAACUGACGCUGAGGAGCGAAAGCGUGGGGAGCGAACAGGAUUAGAUACCUGGGUAGUCCAA
rnacentral:rRNA from 1 species